UACGAAGGGGGCUAGCGUUGUUCGGAAUUACUGGGCGUAAAGCGCACGUAGGCGGACAUUUAAGUCAGGGGUGAAAUCCCAGUGCUCAACUCUGGAACUGCCUUUGAUACUGGGUGUCUUGAGUAUGGAAGAGGUGAGUGGAAUUCCGAGUGUAGAGGUGAAAUUCGUAGAUAUUCGGAGGAACACCAGUGGCGAAGGCGGCUCACUGGUCCAUUACUGACGCUGAGGUGCGAAAGCGUGGGGAGCAAACAGG
rnacentral:rRNA from 1 species